UGUCUUUGUAGUUACAAUCUUGCUUUGUCAUUUUCUUUUUGUAGAUACUUGUUGUCUUUGUAGUUACAAUCUUGCUUGUCAUUUUCUUUUUGUUUUCUUUAGUUGAUGAUGUUGACAUGAAUAGAUGUUGUCAAUAUUUGUUGGGCAUAUAAGCUAUAUAAUGGAGUUGCUUGGACAUUUCCAUAGUAAUUAAAGCACUGCCUUCUGAAAAGGACCUGCAAUGUUUUCCGUAGUUAAUGAUGUUGAUAUGAAUAGAUGUUGUCAAUAUUCGCUGGACAUAUAAACUACAAAGGAGUUGCUUGGGCGUUUCCAUAGUGACUACAACACUUCCUUCCAAAAGGGGCUCUAUUUCCAAUGAGCAACAACAAAGGUCCAAACUUAAUUAUAAAACUAUUUGUACUCUAAAAUUUGUUAUGUUCAUUAAAACAAGAGCCAUAAUUCUAGUGUUCAAAAAUGCGAUUAAUCACAUUAAAGGAGGAGGAAGAAGAAGAAGAAGAAGAAAUGGAAAAGCAUGGGUGGCAAAUGACAAUAAUGACACAUUAUCUUCUUAUUGUGCGAUGAGACGACAAUUAUUGUCACCUGAACCUUUUUCCCUUGCAUCAUCUCCUCAUUUCACAUCAUCGCUUUUUCACCUCACUGCUUUCUCUCUCCCUGUCAUUUCUCUCUCUCACCCUUUUUUACACCGAUGAUUUUGAUAAUAUAGGAAUUGAUGAUAAAAUGAUGUUGUUCGUCUUGCUCUUGAAAAUUUUUGACUAAAAAAAUAAGUUUUUCAAAUUUUUUUUGGGGUGCUUAAUACGUCCUUAAGCAAUUGAAGCUUCUUUCUGGUUUUUGUUUUUUGAGUCUUCAAAAUUUAGUAAGUCUUGUUUAGGUUAUAGGAUGAGAAAUAGGCUUUUUUCCCUUGAAAAUGUGAAGUCCUUGGGACAUUUUGUCAAGAAAAAAAAAUGUGAGCAUUAAGAUUUUUACAUGGCCGUUUUAUAAUUCAAUUCUCCAUUCACUAAUGCUGAGUGAUUAUAGGUGGGUUUUCAUUCUAUUCCGUUUUGCCAAAGUAGAAACUUCAUCUGGGUUUUGAAGUUUUAAAAAACCUUUCUUAGUUGUGGUCUGAGUAGUAGGGUGAAAGACAAAUGAUGAGGGGGAGAGAGAAAAACUGUUGAAAAGCCGAGAUGAUGAAGAAAGACAAGUGGAGAGAGGCAGAGAGUAAAAGGUGAAUGAUGGUUGAGCUAAGCCCUAGAGGAGUAACCAAUCAGAGAAAAGGGUCUUAAUUUAUAUUGAACAGAUGCACCACAUACAAGUUAAAACAAAAAGUAUCAUGGUAUGUCAUCCUUUUCUAAAAUGGAACUUUCAUGCUGGAGCAAGAACUAGCAUGAAAAUCAGUCUAGACCUAAAACAGACUUGAGGGCUCUUGCUACUGACAGGAAUGAACCUACUUCUCAAGACCAGGUAUGCAGCUUGUUGGUUGCAUUGAGUAUGUCGUGGUUAGUUAGGCUUAGUUUACUUUGUAAUGAAUGCAAACAAAAAUAGGCGGCAUUUAUGCUAACAAGGGGAGCUGAAGAUUUCCUUGCUACUUCAGUACUAAGACAAUAGCUGUUGUACUAUUAAACAAAAAUAGUUGUACUAUUAUGAUUAAGUAGUUGUACAAUAGAAUACCAUUGGCCUUGACCUUAGCUAAGUUCUCGAAGUUGAACAGCCCGUCCUUUAUAGAAUUUGAACACCAUCCCAUUUCAACCAAAAAUACAACCCUGUCUGGAUUAAAUAUAUGAAAUUUCAUCUAAGACCUCAUUACAUAAAAGUUGAUUUUAUUGUUUAUAUAUGACAGAGGCAAAAUUGCCUUUUGCUACACAUUCUCAUGGUACAAAUUCAUCCCAUGGUAUUCCUAAUUCAUGCAUUUUUGGGUAUUUAUUGUUUAAUGGGAUUGUUUAUCCAUGCCUUUUUUUUCCUUUUUGUUUUUUUAUUGGGUGUGCAACUAAACACGAACUAUGCGAAACUUAUCAAAUUACCAAUCCAAUCCCAACAACUACCAGGGUUAUCAAAUAAGACCUUAAUGUUGGUAGAUCCCAUGUAUGUCUUUGCAUUGCAAAUAGUAAUAUUGUUCAAGAGGGAUUCUCUGUUGUGAUUGGUUUAGGGGUCUACAUCAAGUUUUGUUUUGGCAUGGUUUAUGGUUCAAUGAUAAAUCUUUGAAAGAUGAGUUUCCUAGACUAUUCUUGAUUUUGUCUCAGAAAUAAUGAUGUUCUUUUGUUUGAUGGAAGCUUGAACAAGUGGUGUUUGCAAUUCAGGAGGAGUUUAUUUGUUUGGGAGAAUGUCCUUUUGGAUAAUUUAAUGAAUACUUAAUUCGCUUUGCUUCACUCUUGAUAUGGAGGAUAAGCUGUAAUGAAAGUGGGAUAAAAAUAAUGGAACCUAUGCAAUUAGAUCUUUUUAUAUUGUCUGUGAAAAUUUAUCUUGUGGUUUUGAGGUUUCUCCUCUCAAGUCGCAUCUCUUUUCUAGAAUAAUCUUCACCCAUUCAAAGUCAAAAUAUUUUGUUGGCAAGCUAUUCUAGGUAAAGUAGCCUCUCAAGAAAUUUUUAGCUAAUAGGGGUAAUCCUAAAUGAGUUUUAAGUGCUUUGUCCAGUGUGUUUGAGAUUUGUCAAAUCUGUAUACCAUCUCUUCAUUCAUUGUCAGUUCACUUGGGAACGCUGGUCAUGUUGUUUAAACCAGUGCGGGUGGUGUUUGUUCGGUUUUCCCUGCCUCUCUGUUUGAUAUUUUUAUGCGGUGGUUUGAUCCUUCUUUUCGGAACCUUGAGAAACGAUUUUGGGUGACCCUCUUCUACAUGGUUAUCUGGUUAGCUCAAAAUGCUACUGUCUUUAACCACUCAGAACAGCAUGUUCAUGAUGUGAUUCACCUAGUAAACUUGUGUUUCGCUCUUUAGGCUAAAGCUUGUUAUGUUAUUGUUAACUACCCAGUGUCUGGUAUUAUCAGCUACUUGACAGGAUCACGAAACUCAAACUGAAGCUUCUUUCAAAGCUGCCUUGACAAACAUUGAAGUGAUAAGAUGGUUGAGGUGCGAAGGGGGCUUGGCUCUUUUUUAUUGUUCUUCUUGUUGCUACUGAUAUGUUCUUUGAUGUUGCUGGUGGUGUAGGGUAGCUGUUUUGCUGUCUAGGGAGGUCUUUCUUUCAUGAAGAAUAUUUUUAUUGCUAUGGGAAGCCUUGAGUUAUAAUUUAUAAGGCUGUGUUGUCGCUUUUUAAGGCUGAGGGUUGUUCUUGACACUACAAGAAAAAGUACAUUGCACGGCGUUUAUAAUAUAGCGUUUUUGAAACGUCUUUGUUGAUUAGUCGAGCACAACGUUUUGUAAACGUUGUCUUACAUCUAGGUCAGACAACGUCAUUUAGCUAUGUAGUGAUCACGCCGGUUCAUAUUAAAACCUUCUCGCCGUUUGAGACCUUUCAAAACCAUCUCACUCCAGACUCUGAAACUCAGAUUCCCUUUUCAGAACUCUCUCUCUCUCUCUCUCUCUCUCUCUCUCUCCACUUCAGAUUCAUCAAAUUGUACAACCACCAUGUUCAGAAACUCUCAGUUUCCUCGAUAUUGAGUUUGAACAGAAGAUAUUGUGAAGGCUCUUGAGGUUGAAAGCCCUCGGCCACUCUCGGUUGAAUGAUCUACGUUUCUCUCUCUCUCUCAGAUCCAUGAUGGUUGUCGAUGAUUUGAAGGUUGAUUCGUGCAGAUUUGAAGAUUGUAUACAUCCGAGAACACAGAUCUGAGAUCAACCCCUGUCAAAACUGUCUUUCAAUCAAUUGAUCGAUCGAUUGUUUUCGUUCAGAACUAUAUUGAUUAAUCUUUUGAUUGAUUUUUGAGUCUCACUCUCUUUUUGCUUAUAAAUUUCUGCUUCUCGCUUUCAGAUUUAGAUUUGUUCUGCUUGCAUUUCGGCACUACACUUUGGCAUAAAGUAAAUGUUGCUGCAAUUUUUAUGAAGUAAAUUCAUUGAAGAUAUUUGUUUGAUUUUUUUUAUGUGGAUCGUUGGAAACAGUGAAUAGAAGCUCAACGAUGAAGAGAUGUAGAUCUGCCCUCUCUUCGAUCAGAUCUGCUUUCUCUCUCUCUCUCUGAUUUGCUAAUAUGCUUGAGAUCCUCUGUAAUUUGGCGAUUUGGAGAAGAAAAAAAUGUUCAGUGUGACUGUUAGGUAAAUAACCAAACAUGUGGUUGGACUUGGCCUUGGGGAGGUAAUAGUGACUGCAGUGUGACUGAUUUCUUUUUCUUUUUUAAAUUCAUCUAUAGUGGCCUCAAGUUGCUUGGGCAUUAAUCUUUGUUUAAGGGAUACCUUUAAUGUUUGGGAUUUCUUAUUUUAUAAGUAGAGAGAUUAUUGCUUGUUGAGACAAAGCCUUAUAGGUUAAAAGGACUAAUAAAUGUGAAUGCUUGAUUAACUGAUGUUUGGGAUUUCUUAUUGCAUAUGAAAGAUUUGU